CACGUAGGGUGCGAGCGUUGUCCGGAAUUAUUGGGCGUAAAGAGCUCGUAGGCGGUGUGUCGCGUCGGCCGUGAAAACCUGCAGCUUAACUGUGGGCUUGCGGUCGAUACGGGCAUCACUGGAGUUCGGCAGGGGAGACUGGAAUUCCUGGUGUAGCGGUGAAAUGCGCAGAUAUCAGGAGGAACACCGGUGGCGAAGGCGGGGUCU
rnacentral:rRNA from 1 species